CCAUUUAAUGUUGUUUCUUACAUUCUCAAGACAAGUCAAGCCCAUCCUUCACUGUGGGGAAUUCUCAGUAGCUCUUCUCAUUAUCCUGAAUGGGUUUUCCCAGUCUUUGUAUGAAUAAUCAUUUAGCUUAAAUGUCAUUCCUCAGCCAGGUCUUUCCUGACCUCACAAUAUAAAAUAAGCAUGCUGUUUUCCCACUCUUGGGGCUUUUCCUUUCUUCAGGGCUUCACAGGGGAAGAACAGAGCUCCCCACAAGAACCCAUCAACUUCUUGUCUUAUCUCUUUUCCCUCAGCUAAGGAGGAAACAAGAAAAAUAUCAGUUAGUGAAAAAUGCUGUAAGGAAAAUUAAAAUAAGAGGAGCAAGACAUCAAAUAAUUCCAAGAGCAAACACAACGCAUAUGUGGUACAAAUAUUGAACCAUGAGUUUCAGGUCUUGAUGAAGUAUGGGUCAGGAAAUGCUUGGCUGGAGUAGAAAGUGUGGCCAUUGCUCACUGCCUGUCUGUGUAGCUCGCAGAUCCAGGAACUGAAUCAAAGUGAAGGGGAACCAUGAAAAUGCAUCUUGGUACUAAGCAUCUUGCUAUAUUGAACUGAAAAAUAAGCUAAGGGAUUAAUUUAGUUCACCAGAGUGUUGGCUCAAGUUUAACAGAGACACGAGAAGAAAGUUGACAAUAUAAAUGUAACAUCAUCUGGAUCACCCUACUAAUACAGGGUAAGGACAGUUUAUCUGCUGGGGUAACCUUAAUCUUAAAUAGCUG
rnacentral:lncRNA from 1 species